AGAGUGGGAGGAAUCUUACUCAUUUGAAAAGAGCUUGACUGUUACAUCAGAGGACCCCAGGAUGGUCUGAAGGAGGAGAGGCUGUUUCUUCUUAAAGCUUUCAAGUGGUGUAUAAGUCCCUUUAUGCUGCUAUAAAGGAAUACCCAAGACUGGGUAACUUACAAAGAAAAGAGAUUUAUUUGGCUCAUUGUUCUGCUGGCUAUACAUGAAGCAUAAUGCCAGCAUUUGCUCUGGUGAGGGCCUCAAGAAGCUUAUAAUCAUGGAAGAAGGAGAUGGAGAGCCAGCAUGUCACAUGGAAGCGUGAGAGGAAGCAAGAGAGAGGGGGGAGGAGGUGCUAGGUUGUUUUAAACAACCAGUUCUCUUGUGAACUCAGAGAAAACUCACUCAUUACUGUGAGGACAGCAGCGGCAAGUCAUUCAUGAGGCAUCCACCCCCAUGACUCAAACACCUCCCACUAGGCCCACCUCCAACACCGGAGGCCACAUUUCAACAUGUGAUUUGGAGGGGACAAGCAUCCAAUCCAUAUCAGGUGGGGAAGGUCAGGAGGUGGACAACAGAAUCAUUGUUGCCCAGUUUAGGACUUCUCAAAUUUUAGUGUACAUGGAAAUCACUGGAGUUCUCAUUAAAAUGCAAAUUCUGAUUC
rnacentral:lncRNA from 1 species